UACGUAGGGGGCAAGCGUUGUCCGGAAUCAUUGGGCGUAAAGCGCGCGUAGGCGGCCCGGUAAGUCCGCUCUGAAAGUCCAGGGCUUAACCCUGGAAAGCGGGUGGAUACUGCCGGGCUUGAAUCCGGAAGAGGCGAGUGGAAUUCCUGGUGUAGCGGUGGAAUGCGCAGAUAUCAGGAGGAACACCAAUAGCGAAGGCAGCUCGCUGGGACGGUAUUGACGCUAAGGCGCGAAAAGCGUGGGGAGCAAACAGG
rnacentral:rRNA from 1 species